rnacentral:rRNA from 1 species
AGUCGAACGCGAAAGUUCUCUUCGGAGAGCGAGUAGAGUGGCGAACGGGUGAGUAACGCGUGGGAAACCUGCCCUGGAGUGGGGAAUAACCUUCCUAACGGAGGGCUAAUACCGCAUGUGGAGAGAUGAUCGCCUGGUCUUCUCUUCAAAGGUGGCCUCUAUACUAUGCUACCGCUACAGGAUGGUCCCGCGUCCCAUUAGCUUGUUGGUGGGGUAAUGGCCUACCAAGGCAGCGAUGGGUAGCCGGCCUGAGAGGGUGUCCGGCCACACUGGGACUGAGAUACGGCCCAGACUCCUACGGGAGGCAGCAGUCGAGAGGCUUCGGCAAUGGGGGAAACCCUGACCGAGCGACGCCGCGUGUGUGAUGAAGGCCUUCGGGUUGUAAAACACUGUCAACAGGGAAGAAAGUCCCGACGGUUAAUACCCGGCGGGGUUGACGGUACCUGUAGAGGAAGCUCCGGCUAACUCCGUGCCAGCAGCCGCGGUAAUACGGGGGGAGCAAACGUUGUUCGGAUUCACUGGGCGUAAAGGGAGUGUAGGCGGCCAGUUAAGUGGGAAGUGAAAUCCUUCGGCUCAACCGAAGACCUGCUUUCCAAACUGUCUGGCUUGAGUCCGGGAGGGGAGACGGGAAUUCCUGGUGUAGCGGUGAAAUGCGCAGAUAUCAGGAGGAACACCGGUGGCGAAGGCGCGUCUCUGGACCGGUACUGACGCUGAGGCUCGAAAGCGUGGGGAGCAAACAGGAUUAGAUACCCUGGUAGUCCACACCGUANACGAUGGGCACUAGGUGUGGGAGGUAUCGACCCCUUCCGUGCCGCAGUUAACGCAUUAAGUGCCCCGCCUGGGGAGUACGGCCGCAAGGCU